AUAGACAGCUAGGAGGUUGGCUUAGAAGCAGCCACCCUUUAAAGAAAGCGUAAUAGCUCACUAGUCGAGUCGGCCUGCGCGGAAGAUGUAACGGGGCUAAAACUAUGUGCCGAAGCUGCGGAUGUAUACUUUGUAUACGUGGUAGGGGAGCGUUCUGUAAGCCGAUGAAGGUGUGUUGAGAAGCAUGCUGGAGGUAUCAGAAGUGCGAAUGCUGACGUGAGUAACGACAAAACGGGUGAAAAACCCGUUCGCCGAAAGACCAAGGGUUCCAGUCCAACGUUAAUCGGGGCUGGGUGAGUCGACCCCUAAGGCGAGGCCGAAAGGCGUAGUCGAUGGGAAAAUGGUUAAUAUUCCAUUACUUCUGUGUAAUGCGAUGAGAGGACGGAGAAGGCUAAAUCAGCCUGGCGUUGGUUGUCCAGGUGAAAGGAUGUAGGCAUGUAUCUUAGGCAAAUCCGGGGUACUCUAUGCUGAGAUCUGAUAGCAAGCUGUACUUGUACAGCGAAGUGGUUGAUGCCAUGCUUCCAGGAAAAGUCUCUAAGCUUCAGUUACACAGGAAUCGUACCCGAAACCGACACAGGUGGUCAGGUCGAGUAGACCAAGGCGCUUGAGAGAACUCUGCUGAAGGAACUAGGCAAAAUGGUACCGUAACUUCGGGAGAAGGUACGCUGUUGUUGGUGAUGGAACUCGCUUCCUGAGCUGACGACAGCCGCAGAAACCAGGCCGCUGCAACUGUUUAUUAAAAACAUAGCACUCUGCAAACACGAAAGUGGACGUAUAGGGUGUGAUGCCUGCCCGGUGCUGGAAGGUUAAUUGAUGGGGUUAGCGUAAGCGAAGCUCUUGAUCGAAGCCCCAGUAAACGGCGGCCGUAACUAUAACGGUCCUAAGGUAGCGAAAUUCCUUGUCGGGUAAGUUCCGACCUGCACGAAUGGCAUAAUGAUGGCGGCGCUGUCUCCAGCAGAGGCUCAGUGAAAUCGAAAUCGCUGUGAAGAUGCAGUGUACCCGCGGCUAGACGGAAAGACCCCGUGAACCUUUACUGCAGCUUGACACUGAACUUUGACCUUACUUGUGUAGGAUAGGUGGGAGGCUUUGAAGCUGGAACGCUAGUUCCAGUGGAGCCGUCCUUGAAAUACCACCCUGGUAAUGUUGAGGUUCUAACUCUGUCCCGUGAUCCGGGACGAGGACCGUGUCUGGUGGGUAGUUUGACUGGGGCGGUCUCCUCCUAAAGAGUAACGGAGGAGUACGAAGGUGCGCUCAGCGUGGUCGGAAAUCACGCGUAGAGUAUAAAGGCAAAAGCGCGCUUAACUGCGAGACCCACAAGUCGAGCAGGUACGAAAGUAGGUCUUAGUGAUCCGGUGGUUCUGUAUGGAAGGGCCAUCGCUCAACGGAUAAAAGGUACUCUGGGGAUAACAGGCUGAUACCGCCCAAGAGUUCAUAUCGACGGCGGUGUUUGGCACCUCGAUGUCGGCUCAUCUCAUCCUGGGGCUGAAGCAGGUCCCAAGGGUAUGGCUGUUCGCCAUUUAAAGAGGUACGCGAGCUGGGUUUAGAACGUCGUGAGACAGUUCGGUCCCUAUCUACCGUGGGCGCUGGAAAUUUGAGAGGAUCUGCUCCUAGUACGAGAGGACCAGAGUGGACGAACCUCUGGUGUACCGGUUGUGACGCCAGUCGCAUCGCCGGGUAGCUAUGUUCGGAAGGGAUAACCGCUGAAAGCAUCUAAGCGGGAAGCCUACCUCAAGAUAAGAUUUCCCUAGGACUUUAUGUCCUCUAAAGAGCCGUUCGAGACUAGGACGUUGAUAGGUUGGAUGUGGAAGCAUAGUGAUAUGUGAAGCUGACCAAUACUAAUUGCUCGUGAGGCUUGACUAUACAACACCCAAGCAGUUG
rnacentral:rRNA from 1 species